UAGGGGGAGCAAGAUGGAGUCACAGAAGCAGGUCCUCAUGUCCCUGCUGCUCUGGGUGUCUGGUGCCUGUGCAGACAUCUUGAUGACCCAGUCUCCAUCCUCCCUGGCUGUGUCAGCAGGAGAGAAGGUCACCAUCAGCUGCAGGUCCAGUCAGAGUCUUUAUUCAAGUAACACCAAGAAGAACUACUUGAACUGGUACCAGCAGAAACCAGGGCAGGCUCCUAAACUGCUGAUCUACUUAGCAUCCACUCGGAACACUGGGGUCCCUGAUCGCUUCACAGGCAGUGGGUCUGGAACAGGUUUCACUCUCACCAUCAGCAGUGUCCAGGCUGAAGAUCUGGCAGAUUACUACUGUCAGCAGCAUUAUAGUGCUCCUCCCACAGUGCUUCAACCUCCAACAAAAACCUCCUCUGAGAUUCACCAGCUGUCUGCACCACACACAGUCCUGGACCUGCACACUUCCCCCUUUUGCCUGAGAGCCAGUGUUUCUGAAGUAAUGAUGAAAAGUUUUGCAGAGCCCAGAAAUAAUAAAGAGUUCAAUGUCUCUUACAUAUUUUGGUAUGAAAAACUUU